AAUUAUAUGUAAUAUCGUUUUAAUUAGCAGAGAUAUUAAAAUUGCGUUUUUAGCUUUAUGCUUUGCAAUCUCUUAUACAUUAAUAUCAAAUUUGAUAAUGAGUAACAUAAAUUGAAUAAAAUUAGUUCAUCAUAUGCAUAUGUAUUUUAGAUUACUGUAAUCAAUAAUAAAUCUAUAAUAGUCAAGCAGGAUAUAUCUAGUCAGGCAUAUCUAAUAAUCAGACAGGAAAUAUUUGUUCCGCAUAGCGGAAUUUCCUUCUCUAUAUCUUGCAAAGUCAAUAGACAUUUUGUGACCGAGAUUUAAAACCGCACGUCGCCAUUUUCCGGCCGUUAUAAAUAAACGAAGAAGAAAUUUUGUAAUGCUCAUUAUCUAAUGAUACGCCGUGUUAGAAGCAGUUUAUUUGCGCAUAUUAUAUGUUAAUCAUGAAGUUUCUUACAGUAGUGUGUGUUUUAGUGACUACAUGGAUUUAUGCCGAAAGCAUGCAAUUCAUCGACGAUGAAUUACGUCCGCAUGAAGGGGUGGCGAUAGGAUGCGCAGGAAGACGUAUGCAAUUGAAUAAUCAGAUGAAAGAGGUAAUGUGCGUGCCAAGGCACGCUAUGAUAAAAUUAAUACCGCAACCGGGCUACACUUUUUAUCCGAAUUAUGCCUCAGUGAAAAGAUGCAGCGGUUUCUGUCCGAGGAACAAAUCAUGCAUGCCAGUUCGCAAAAAUGUUAGAAAGAUCGCAGUAAGAAUGGACGGUUAUGACUCAAGCGAAUGUUAUCACGUGUUGCUCGAGGAACACACCAAAUGCAAAUGUCAAUGUAGCGUGACAGAAAAUCAUUGCAACAUUCAUCAGAUAUAUUCAGAAGAUAAUUGUGCGUGCGAAUGCAUGAAUAAAAGAAAGUGUGAUAAAGAACGCCAGAUGGUCUGGAAUGAAAAAUUGUGCAAAUGCACUUGCGACAAGGAAGAAGAAAUCUGCUCGAGUGGACUCGAAUGGGUUCCCUCUCGUUGCGGGUAAAACAAUCACGAGGAGAAAUUCUUAAAGUUCAUUUAGUAGCAUAGAUCGAAAUCAUUCUUUCGCUUUUAUUCCUUGAUAGCAAUAAUUAUUAAUAACAAAUUAAACAAAGUGACAUAUUUGCGAUUUAUGAUACUGAAAAACUUGUAUGAUAUAUGCGCCCAAGUGAUGGAGAUGUAUCAAUUAGAUAAAUCUAAUACUAAUUAUAUUAGAAAUUUAUAGGAAAAUAACACAAUAAC
rnacentral:misc_RNA from 1 species